CCGUAAGGGGUAGAGUCAGGUUCCGUGAUCAUUUUCUCCUCAAAAGGGGUGGAUGGACAAGAAUCGGUAUAGUGUCCUAGUCGUCCGCAAGAAUAGCAAUAAUGAGAUAAAUCUAACUCAACACGAGCUCGACAGGCUUUCAGAGUGGAACCAGUAGCGAACUCAGAUUUUACUUGCAAUACAGUGCCGAUCGUGCUCACAGCCUUGCGGAUCAUUUCAGCAGUACAACAUUCCAAAGGUAACCCAAUCACCUGGACCCAGAAUGCACAGGUAGUAAAGUCGUAGCAUUGUAGAGGGGUAUUGGCUAUCCAUGGUUUGAAGUUGAUGAGAUGUCCCGAAAAUUGCCAAGCUUGAUCCAACCGCCAUGCACGCUUCAAGACUGACUGAAAGGCUUGGAAAUUAAAGGAAGGGUUUGAGUGAACUUUACCAACCAACAAGUAGCUUGCAUUCCUCUAGUGCACCAGG